GGAUAACUCCAAGAAAUUGGGGCUAAUACUGGAUAUGACCGCUGACCGCAUGGUCUGGUGGUGGAAAGAUUUAUCGGCUGAGGAUGGGCCCGCGGCCUAUCAGCUUGUUGGUGGGGUAGUGGCCCACCAAGGCGACGACGGGUAGCCGGCCUGAGAGGGUGACCGGCCACACUGGGACUGAGACACGGCCCAGACUCCUACGGGAGGCAGCAGUGGGGAAUAUUGCGCAAUGGGCGAAAGCCUGACGCAGCGACGCCGCGUGGGGGAUGACGGCCUUCGGGUUGUAAACCUCUUUCAGCAGGGACGAAGCGAAAGUGACGGUACCUGCAGAAGAAGCACCGGCCAACUACGUGCCAGCAGCCGCGGUAAUACGUAGGGUGCAAGCGUUGUCCGGAAUUAUUGGGCGUAAAGAGCUCGUAGGCGGUUUGUUGCGUCGGCUGUGAAAACCUGAGGCUCAACCUCAGGCCUGCAGUCGAUACGAGCAGACUAGAGUGUUGCAGGGGAGACUGGAAUUCCUGGUGUAGCGGUGAAAUGCGCAGAUAUCAGGAGGAACACCGGUGGCGAAGGCGGGUCUCUGGGCAACAACUGACGCUGAGGAGCGAAAGCGUGGGGAGCGAACAGGAUUAGAUACCCUGGUAGUCCACGCCGUAAACGUUGGGCGCUAGGUGUGGGGCUCAUUCCACGAGUUCCGUGCCGCAGCUAACGCAUUAAGCGCCCCGCCUGGGGAGUACGGCCGCAAGGCUAAAACUCAAAGGAAUUGACGGGGGCCCGCACAAGCGGCGGAGCAUGUUGCUUAAUUCGAUGCAACGCGAAGAACCUUACCUAGGCUUGACAUGCACGGAAAUCCUCCAGAGAUGGUGGGUCCGCAAGGGUCGUGCACAGGUGGUGCAUGGUUGUCGUCAGCUCGUGUCGUGAGAUGUUGGGUUAAGUCCCGCAACGAGCGCAACCCUCGUUCUAUGUUGCCAGCACGUGAUGGUGGGGACUCAUAGGAGACUGCCGGGGUCAACUCGGAGGAAGGUGGGGAUGACGUCAAAUCAUCAUGCCCCUUAUGUCUAGGGCUGCAAACAUGCUACAAUGGCCGGUACAAAGGGCUGCGAUACCGCGAGGUGGAGCGAAUCCCAAAAAGCC
rnacentral:rRNA from 1 species